UACAGAGGUGGCAAGCGUUGUUCGGAAUUACUGGGCGUAAAGGGCGCGUAGGCGGUCUUGUAAGUCUUGUGUGAAAUCCCUCGGCUUAACUGAGGAACUGCACGGGAUACUGCGAGACUUGAGAUCGGGAGAGGGAAGCGGAAUUCCGGGUGUAGCGGUGAAAUGCGUAGAUAUCAGGAGGAACACCGGUGGUGUAGACGGCUUUCUGGACCGUAACUGACGCUGAGACACGAAAGCGUGGGUAGCAAACAGG
rnacentral:rRNA from 1 species